rnacentral:lncRNA from 1 species
GCAGAGGUUGCAGUGAGCCAAGAUCGCUCCACUGCACUCCAGCCUGAGCGACAGAGCGAGACCUCAUCUCAAAAAAAAAAAAGGGACAACCCCAGCUGGCAUCUUUUCUUCUGGAGACAGUAGAAGAUGGCGUCUUUGGAGGGCUCUUCAAAUAAAAUGUGAGGCAGAUAAUAACAAGAUUUUGCCUUUUGGACACUUCCUCAGAAACCCCUUAUGGUAUUUCAUCAAUCACAAAAGUGGGAGUUGAGUCACCUGCCCAGCCCGGUAACCAGGACAGUUGUAGCAGACGCGGGACGAUGGCCCUGACAGAUGUGACUGAGUCUCCCUUGCCUUCUCUUUUGUUUGUGUGUCCAGAACUCCUAUUUAUGAGAAAAUUGUAUUCCCUGCGCUUGAGUCCCAGUCUUCUGUGCUGACACAAGGAAUUGUAAGCAGCAGGGCCGGGGCUGCCGCGCAGCAGGGCUCCAUCCGCCCCAGGUCUCUGUGCCUGCUGCUGGCUGGGCAGAGGCCCUGGGUGAUCAGAGGCUGUACCGGUGAGCCUGGGCAGCCCGGCGCAUCCCAACAGGCCGCGUGUGGUUUCUGCCUCUCAGUGAAAUCUGCCUGCGAGAUUUGCUCUUAUUUUCUCUGCAGCAAACACUAGGAUGAACUUUAUUUUCUCAUUGAAAACAAGGUACCGGGAAGGGAUUGCGUACCCACAGACGUACAGAGCCUUGGGCUUCAGACUCUCCCUUGAAGCCCAGGAAGCCACUCUCAUUGACCACAGGUACUGAGUGCCCAUCUGAGCAGGACUGCAGGAGCCGCUGGACUGUCCACGAUCCCUAACAACCCACAUGUCCAGAGAGGGCGUUUCUGUCUUCUUGGGAGGGAGGCCUGUUGAGCUGCGUCCACACCUCACGAUGCCAGCAGUGGCACGUGGAGCUACACCUGCACACUUGGCCUCUGCCUGCAGGGGUGCCCAGGGCGUUCACCAUCAGAUAGCACCCCACUGCCUGCCUCUCCUCUGCCCUCCUGAGGGACACUUCUCGGCUCCCGUGACCUCUUGGAGCCCACAUCUGCCCUCCUGCUCACCUCACCAGGCCCCGGAAACUGCAGGCUGCAGGUGGGCAGGGGAGGCUGCCACCUCUGCUUGGGAUCCGGUCUCCUGGUGGCUGCCUGCAGAGACCACCCAGAUAAGGGGACGAGGAGUCGGUGUCCCGUGAGACAAACUUCAGUCAAUGGCAGACAAGAGUCAGCGGAUAAAGUCCGCCUUCCUUCAUGGACGGUUUCAUGAUACUGUUUACAGUUUAGUCAGCCUCUCCAGAGACAUCCUGUAAGGCAGAAAAAUCAUGGCUUUGUGAGGAGCUCAGCAGUGUGCUUGUAUUUGCUCUUCUUCCUUCCCUCCUUGCUCCUUCCUUCCUUCCCUGCUUCCUCCUUCCCCUUUCUUCCUUUUCUCCUUCCUCUUUUUCCCCUUCUCUCUUUUUUCUUUCCUCUUUUCUCCUUCCUCCUUCCCUCCUUCCUUCACUGAUACUUUUUGGGAUUGCUCUCCCUGGUAAAGCAUAAGCACAAAUGCCUUGUCCUUGGUUCUGGUUUCCAGAGAACCUGGGCUAAGAUAAGUUUAUUCCAGAAUAUCUUGAUCUUGAAUUUAUUUCCUUCCUUCCUUCCUUCCUUCCUUCCUUCCUUCCUUCCUUCCUUCCUUCCUUCCUUCCUUCCUUCCUUCCUCCUCCCUCUCUCCCUUCCUCCCUCCCUCCUUCCUUCUUUCCUUCUCCCUUCCCUCCCCUCCCCUCACGUCCCCUCCCCUCCUGUCCCCUCCCCUCCCCUUCCCUCUGUUCUUUUGACAGGGUCUCACUC